rnacentral:rRNA from 1 species
CAGCGCCACGAGUGGCAAUCGCGAUUAUUGGGCCUAAAGCGUCCGUAGCCGGUUCGGUAAAUCCUUUGUGAAAUCGCCAAGCUUAACUUGGCGGCGUGCAGGGGACACUGCCGAACUCGAGACCGGGAGGAGUUAGAAGUAUUUUUGGGGGAGCGGUAAAAUGCUAUAAUCCCAGAAAGACGACCGAUGGCGAAGGCAUCUAACUAGAACGGAUCUGACGGUGAGGGACGAAAGCCAGGGGAGCGAACCGGAUUAGAUACCCGCGUAGUCC